GACAGAGGGUGCGAGCGUUGUCCGGAGUCACUGGGCGUAAAGCGCGCGCAGGCGGCAACCUAAGUGUCGUGUGAAAGCCCCCGGCUCAACCGGGGGAGGCCAUGGCAAACUGGGUCGCUCGAGCUGCGGAGAGGCCCCUCGAAUUGCUGGUGUAGCGGUGAAAUGCGUAGAGAUCGGCAGGAAGACCAAGGGGGAAGCCAGGGGGCUGGCCGCAGGCUGACGCUGAGGCGCGACAGCGUGGGGAGCAAACCGG
rnacentral:rRNA from 1 species